ensembl:lncRNA
UUUUUUUUUUUUUUUUUUGUUAAAGGAACUGAGUUGAAUUCAAGCAAUUAUUUUAUAUUGUAUAAUAAACAUUCCUUUUUAAUAUUAAUAUUGUUUUCUUACAAAAUAUAUUUCUAAGAAAAAAAACAACUUUGUGAUUUCAUUAUUUUUAUGUGUACCUGUAUUUCUUGCGCAGCUUUGAUAAUUAUAUUCAGAUUUCAGAAUGUACAUGCUGGAUCUGGUAUAACUCAAGAAAACUGAGGCAUAAAUCAGCUAUUUUGAGACAAUUACAAUGAAUUUUACUGAGUUUUGAUCUGGCUUUGGAUCUACAUGCACCACUUUCACGUCAGGUUAGAUUUUUAGGAGUUGGAAAUUAAUCUGAAAGUGAAGGCUUCCCCAUGAUGUUUCACAUCUAACAGUUGUCACUUCAAACCCACAAAUGACUGAGGAAUGUGGGGCUCUUAUUUUAUUUUCAAGGGCUACAAGUCAAAAUCAUUUCUUCCUAGUAUAGAGAUGUCCAGUGACAGGCUGGGAGAAAAAUAUCUGUUCUGUGUCCUAGGGGUUUAAGUCACCCUCUGGGGAGGUAGAGAUGGGGGUUCAAGUGGUUUGAAAGUAAAGUUAGACUUAGUAGCUGAAUUUAGCAAAUGACAGGAGGAGAGCCACCAGCACUAAAUGUCACCUGAAUGACAGUGUCUGUGGGCUGUGGGUGUGUUCUGAAGAAGGUCUCCUGUAGCAUGUGUUGAACCCCUGAGCACAGACUUGUCUGCGCAUCCUAAGCCACCAGAGCUGAGACAGUGGCUCCUGAGGCUCAACUUAGCAUGCAUGUUCUCAAUAGGAGGGCUGUAAGCAUCUACAUUUCACAAUGCAAUAUGAGGAUUUAAGUUUCCGUUGUGCAACAGCUUUGAAGCCUAGCUGGUUUGAGGGUUGUGGCGGUUUUUGUGGGUUUUUUUUCUUCCUUAGCAUCUUCUGGCUGUGAGUUUUCCAGUUGUGUGAUAAAAUAGGUGGGAGGAUUGUGAUAAUGUCCUCAUGGGGCUUUAUAGGCUACUGUGAGAGUAACAAUUAGAGGCCAAGCCCUUACUCUGCUCUCUACAAAACAGAAAUGGAGUAAGAGAUCUCAUUGUUCUGCCUGUCAUUCCUUGGUCUCUUCUUAACCUUUGUUCAUUCGAAAGGAAACCAGAAGCUCCAUGUAGAGCUCUAGGUACAGUUUGCUUUUUAUAUCAGAGUAGCCACAGAUUGAAAAGAUUCAGUGGUGUCAUUUGAGGCAACCUGGGCACAUAUUCCAAGGUGAUGAAACUUGUUUGCACUACCACUGACCUUCCUAAAACCAUGUCUGCUCCCAGAAGUGUCCAUUCUUUGGCGUGUGCUUCAUCAGAACAUAAUUAAUGAAAAGAGCAGACAAAUCAAUUAAUGGAGGGAGUUAGUUACCUUAAGAAGAAGGGAAUGUGCUGUAGGCCAAUAAACAUAUCUGUGAUUCUUAUUUUAUAAUCUUCAAAGAUAAUUUUGGUCUGUGGGUAGAAGAUUAUUAUUUGCUGAAAAAAUGAUGUUAAAAAAAUCUUACUUGGAAAUAGUUUAUUUGAAAUUCAGGGUAUUUGUGUGCAUGUAAACAUCUGUAUAUUCUUACCAUGUUCUUGCUGAGUUAAUUUUAAUACAUGGGGUUAUGAUUGCAUAUUUUGGCACCUGGGCACUCCUCCCCCCUCCUUCCCAAGCUUGCUCCAGCCAGUGGCUGUUUCUUUUUCUGUCUAUCCCACUUCCUUUUCUCUGGCGCCUUCCAGCUGACAGUGUGUUCUGCUCACCCUGCUCUUACUGACUUACAGCUCCUUUUCCUUGUGAUAACAACUGCCUUGGUUCAGAUCUAGGUAUACUCCCCCUUUUUUUGGCCCAUUUUCAGGUAGCUUUGCUGUGCUUUUUCGUGGGAAAAAACAAGAAUUUUGUUUUUCAAAAAGAUUUUUGAACCUUUGGUGCCAGAACUGAGCUGAAUAGGAAUGAAGAAAAGUAGCUGGCGAAUAAGGAACCAGCAGGUUGGACACACAAAGCAGUCUGUGCUGCCCUUUGGUUUGAUGUACCAGUUCUGGAGGGCUCCAGACAAUAACCACAUGUUUGUAUUCUGCUGUUAAAAAAAUUUAGUCUGCAGCAGAACUUAAUAUAGAUGGCUGUGUGCAGCAUUUUACUGCGGUGAUUGGAGAAAAAUCACACCUAAACCAGAAAGUGCUCUUAUACAUAGGCAAUUUCUUGUUCUUUCUCCCUCUCUGUAUUGGUGCCUUGUCCAGUAUUUCCUGGUUGCUGUAUCUGGGACCACAACCUGCACAUUUUGCCAACUGUUUAUUUUUUUUUAGCUCACUGGAGUCUGAUCCUGUAUAUCCUAUACCGUUGCCUAAUAUCUCCAUUUGUGACUAGCUCCAAAGCAAAGCUCAGUCUUGGAAAGCUGAGAAACCUGUGUCAGCUUGAGGUUGUUUGAAUUAGAUUUCAAAAACUUCUUGGCAACUCCAAAUGGUUUUCUCUGCUUUUUUUUAACCUUAAGUAUGGAUGUGCUGGGGUUUCUUGCUGUGCUUCCAAGGGAAUAUUUUUUCUGGGGUGGAGGUGAGGGCUUGGGUAUCUUUGAUUUAGUGCUAUCUGUUCACAACCCAUUUUAUGAAGUUUAGAGAGGGCAUAUUUUCCUUGCAUUUGUUCAGCACUUGAGUCAUGUGCUGUUUUGCUGCCUGCUCUCUUGUGCCAUGCUGCUUUUCCCCAGAUGGCACAUCACCAAAUGCCAAUCCAUUUAUGCUUGGCUGUGACAGAAGACAAGCAGGAACUCCAAUUGCUUUCAGCUCCCUACAUGCUGCAAGUCACAAAAUGAUAAGGUUCAUUUUCCCAGCCUUCUGGGUGGGAUCGUGAUGUGGCUGCUUCCUCAUCCUGUAGGUUCCAAAUUCCCUACAUGUUUGUAUUAUCAGCAGUAAGUAAGGAUGCCUGGUGGCUGGCUUUGGGGAUGCCAGUUCCUUAAGGGGAAGAUUGACAGAGGAUCUCCUUCCCUCAUCCUCUUCAUGACAGGUGACAGAUUUUGGAGGUACUGAAAUAUGAUCACAUGGCAGAUAACUUUUUGGGAGAUUCAGAUACGCUCUUGUAUGUUAUUUUUUAACUUCAUAUCCCACCAGUUUAAAGGAUUUCAACCCACUUUUUUCUGUUAAUUGGGAUGAGUGUAGUGUUUGGAAUUAUUUUCCUUACUGUAUCACAAGUGAACACAUGGCCGCAAUCACAACCUUCCAGGGAUAUCAUAGGUAAAAUCAGUUCACCACAGAUGCUGGCUGUGAAUGCAGAGUGGAGCAGACCUUCCUUGCUUGUCCAUAGUUUACUGUUGUGCCUGCUCUAACCCCAGCGUGGGCUCUCCACCCUGCUGGCAUCCCAGUGAAUUGAUUUACAGCAAAUGUAACCUGUACAUACUUAUUCUGGCCUCUGAGAACUAAUAACACAUAACAUUGUUUAGUUAGCAACCAUUUGCAUAUUGACUACUCUUUUUCUGUGUAAACCUCCCAGAUAUAAAGUUUUCUUUGAAAUUUGACUAGCUCCCUGCUUGACCUGUACCUUUUUGCAAUGUUAGUGUCACUAAAUGUUUUUUGUUGUUUGUUUUUUUUUUUUCUGAAGUGCAGUAUCAGAUGCAGUGACACAUCUAAAACAAAACAAGAUACAUCUGGUGUAAUGUUUUAUCACUCAUCAUGGCU